UAAAGCAGGAAUCGACAGAUUGUGGGCGACCCUAUGCCGCCCCACGUCUUGUGUAAUGUUUUCACUUCGAACAAAAACAAGGGGAUUAAAUCCUGAGCCACCUUGGGCUGGCCUUCUGGGAAAGGUGUGUCUUUUGCGUUAAAUCCUGCCUACUCGAAUUACCCUGCUGCUAUGGCCCCGGAGCUGGAGAGGAAGUGAAAGUAACUUGCAAGCUAAUGUUACAGCUGCCAGAAACAAACACAGAGCAGAUGAAGCCAACAAGCUAGCUAACUUGUUAACCAAUAAACUGUCCUUGUAGCAGGGAAAACAGAAGCAAUAAUCAUUCUUGGUUCUUGGAUCUGAAUCAACUCAACCCCAAAAGAAAAAAAGCGAGCAAAAGACUGCUCAUGACCAAUCCAUCAACCGGAUAAACAUUGGAAUUAAUUUUGAAAGGUGGAAGAGUGAAUCCAAAAUGGUCAUCGUUCUCAUGGACUUGUAGGGAGAUACUGGUGGAGACAGUCUGAUUUCGAGGGAACCUGAGGUUGUAGAAAAUCAACACCAAAAGAGAGUCUCUGUUUUCUAGCCCUCCCGGUUCUGACCUGUUCUGCCUGCCCUGACACUGAGCACGCCUUCCUGACCAUUCAGCCUGCCCUGACCUCUAGCCUGCCUGCCCCCUGUACCUCUUGGACUCUGACCUGGUUAAUGAACUUCUGCCUGUUCUCGACCUGCCUAUUGCCUGCCCCUUGUAUUCUAAUAAAUAUCAGAGACUCUAACUAUCUGCCUCCUGUGUCUGCAUCUGGGUCUCACCCUGUGUUGUUAAACAAUUUGGUUUCGGGAGAUAAGUCACUGCCAAUAAACGUUAAUGUUAGCAUUUUUGGUAGAAAUACAUUACUUAACUCAGCAUAGUAUGUCUAAAGUUGUGUAACACUUUUACAACAGUCUGGCACUUUUGUAAUAAAAUUGUCAAUAUAUUGUCUUAAACAUCUUCUGUAUUGUGUGCUUAUUGUUUAACCAUUCAUACAGUAUGUUCUAGGGCAGUGGUUCUCAAACUUUUUUGGUUACUGUACCAGCAACUGAAUUUUGCUCUGCCUGGAGUACCGCCUCAUGUGCAUUUUACCAGUAAGCCUAUGAUCUCAUGAGUCUUCUAAAGUACCCCCUGGUUGGGAACCACUGUUCUAGGGGACAUUAAGACCUUAACCCCUGUUGGUAUAAGUCCUUAAAUCGCAAUAUCUACUAAACUAACAUAUGGAAUUAUUUUAAGAUGAUAAUAAAACAUGUAAUUUAGCCAUUUGAUUUACAUUUUUAGGACCCCUGUAGGUAUAAAAAAAAAAUAAACAAAUGAUUUGCUG